UUGUGGCACCGUUGAGCUGCAGUGAGGUGUCGUUGGGGCUUUGUCUGUUAUCUCGCGUAGUUUUAUUAGUGUUCAAAUUACUACGUUUCUCGGCAUCUUGAAUCGUAUACUUCAGCAACGAUGGAGUGUCCAUAUAGUUUGGAUGGACGUCGGGUCUCGUUAGCGGAUUUUUGGGUGCAGUGCGGUGAAGGACAGAAUGAGUCUACAGCAACCAGACGAGUUUGAAGACUACAACUCCACGAGGUGAAUGGUAACUAUACUAUUGUAAAUGAUUGAUGAGUAUCUGGUGGAGUCUAUAAAUGGACAGACCCUUAAUCACAUUCUACAAUAGCAGAGAGAGAGAGAGAGAGAGAGAGAGAGAGAGAGAGAGAGAGAGAGAGAGAAAAGCUGAGGAAGGAAAGGGAGGGUGGGACAUCAACGGCACUUGUAUACCUGUUACGUGCUGUAAUUUCUCUGGAGUUUAAAGGCUACUGCACACGCCGUAGAUUUGUGAACGAUAUCCUCGACAAUAAACUUGUGAAUUCAUGAAAAUUUUUUGGCAUUCACGAUUUUAUUUUCCCCGAAAAAUGUUUUGUUUCUUAUGUGAAUUGCGUUUGUAUAUCUGAAUGUGUGCACCUUUUCCUGCUGUCAUGGGUUUGAUGGUAGUGAUUUUGAAGUUUCCCUUAAAAGUCAUUAUAAAUGGAUUAUGCUUUUAAAAGCCUUUUUCAAUUUGAGUAAAAUGCUGUUGGCCCAUGAAAUUUAAUUAAAACUUUCAGAAUUAGCGUUAGUUAAAUGGUAUUAAAGGCUGAUUACAACGG